CUACACAGCUGGCAGAGCCAUUGCUGUAAGCUUGGUACAUGGUGGUCCGCCACCAAACUUCCUCUCGCCAACAAUAUUUUCUCUUCUGGUUGAUGGUUCAGCAAAGCCAGUGCUAGACGACAUAGCUGACAAUGAACUUUUGGAAAAAGUAAAAAAGGUAUCUGAAAGUACAACCCUUGAGGACCUUGAGAUGACAACGGCACCUCUGCUUGACUACUUGGCCAAUGCAGGAUGUCUGAGGCCUAUGCGCUCUAUAAGAGACAGGGAUUUGCUGGUACAUGACAUUGUCAUGUUCCAGAUCAUCCACAGGGUUCAAGGUCCAUUUCAAAGAUUCUGUGAAGGACUGAAAACGCUUGGGGUUCUGGAGAAAAUCCAAAGGCAUCCAGACAGCUUUCGUCC